rnacentral:rRNA from 1 species
GAUGAACGCUAGCGGCAGGCUUAAUACAUGCAAGUCGAGGGGCAGCAUAAGUAGCAAUACUUGAUGGCGACCGGCAAACGGGUGCGGAACACGUACGCAACCUUCCUUUAAGUGGGGAAUAGCCCGGGGAAACCCGGAUUAAUACCCCGUAAUAUUAUGAUGUGGCAUCACUUUAUAAUUAUAGAUUUAUCGCUUAAAGAUGGGCGUGCGCCUGAUUAGGUAGUUGGCGGGUAACGGCCCACCAAGCCUGCGAUCAGUAACUGGUGUGAGAGCACGACCAGUCACACGGGCACUGAGACACGGGCCCGACUCCUACGGGA